rnacentral:rRNA from 1 species
GUGAGGAAUAUUGGUCAAUGGGCGAGAGCCUGAACCAGCCAAGUCGCGUGAAGGAAGAAGGAUCUAUGGUUCGUAAACUUCUUUUGCAGGGGAAUAAAGUGCGGGACGUGUCCUGUUUUGUAUGUACCCUGAGAAUAAGGAUCGGCUAACUCCGUGCCAGCAGCCGCGGUAAUACGGAGGAUCCAAGCGUUAUCCGGAUUUAUUGGGUUUAAAGGGUGCGCAGGCGGGUUGAUAAGUCAGCGGUGAAAGUUUGCAGCUUAACUGUAAAAUUGCCGUUGAAACUGUCGAUCUUGAGUGCAAAUGAGGUAAGCGGAAUGUGUUGUGUAGCGGUGAAAUGCUUAGAUAUAACACAGAACACCGAUUGCGAAGGCAGCUUACUGGGAUGCAACUGACGCUCAUGCACGAAAGCGUGGGGAUCAAACAGGAUUAGAUACCCCUGUAGUCC